CCUACGGGAGGCAGCAGUGAGGAAUAUUGCACAAUGGGCGCAAGCCUGAUGCAGCAACGCCGCGUGAGGGACGACGGCCUUCGGGUUGUAAACCUCUUUUAGUAGGGAAGAAGCGAAAGUGACGGUACCUGCAGAAAAAGCACCGGCUAACUACGUGCCAGCAGCCGCGGUAAUACGUAGGGUGCAAGCGUUGUCCGGAAUUAUUGGGCGUAAAGAGCUCGUAGGCGGUUUGUCGCGUCUGCUGUGAAAACCCCGAGGCUCAACCUCGGGCCUGCAGUGGGUACGGGCAGACUAGAGUGCGGUAGGGGAGAUUGGAAUUCCUGGUGUAGCGGUGGAAUGCGCAGAUAUCAGGAGGAACACCGAUGGCGAAGGCAGAUCUCUGGGCCGUAACUGACGCUGAGGAGCGAAAGCAUGGGGAGCGAACAGGAUUAGAUACCCUGGUAGUCCAUGCCGUAAACGUUGGGAACUAGAUGUAGGGACCAUUCCACGGUUUCUGUGUCGCAGCUAACGCAUUAAGUUCCCCGCCUGGGGNGACGCGCAGACAACUAAUAGAGUGNGCGNGNGACGNGCGACGGCGACGACGAGGGAGAGG
rnacentral:rRNA from 1 species